AAAUUGAAGAGUUUGAUCAUGGCUCAGAUUGAACGCUGGCGGCAGGCCUAACACAUGCAAGUCGAACGGUAACAGGAAGCAGCUUGCUGCUUCGCUGACGAGUGGCGGACGGGUGAGUAAUGUCUGGGAAACUGCCUGAUGGAGGGGGAUAACUACUGGAAACGGUAGCUAAUACCGCAUAACGUCGCAAGACCAAAGAGGGGGACCUUMGGGCCUCUUGCCAUCGGAUGUGCCCAGAUGGGAUUAGCUAGUAGGUGGGGUAACGGCUCACCUAGGCGACGAUCCCUAGCUGGUCUGAGAGGAUGACCAGCCACACUGGAACUGAGACACGGUCCAGACUCCUACGGGAGGCAGCAGUGGGGAAUAUUGCACAAUGGGCGCAAGCCUGAUGCAGCCAUGCCGCGUGUAUGAAGAAGGCCUUCGGGUUGUAAAGUACUUUCAGCGGGGAGGAAGGGAGUAAAGUUAAUACCUUUGCUCAUUGACG
rnacentral:rRNA from 1 species